GAUCCUCAUCCUCAUCAUUUCAUCUUCGACGCCGACGAGCAAACAACUCUGCUCCUCCAUCGUCGCCUUGCGUUCCUUCCUCCUCCAGUUGAAACACUCGAUUCCAUCAAGUAUUUCUUCUCACGACGACGAAGAAGGAGAAGAAGAAGAACAAGAAGAAGAAGAAGAAGAAGAAGAAGAAGAAGAAGAAGAAGAAGAAGAAGAACGUCCAACAAGGCUUGAUGGGGGACUACAACGGUAUGGAAGAUUUCACACUCCAUCUGAUUGAAAGCAUCACAGACAAAUUUUCAGAUGAUAGAAUAGUUGGCAGCGGCGGGUACGGACAUGUUUACAAGGCGGAGCACAACGGGAAAGAGAUUGCCGUGAAGAAACUUCAUCCCUUUCAAGGACUUGAUGACAAGCAAUUCCAUAGUGAAGUCCGUAACCUUAUCAAGAUCCGCCACAAGAAUGUCGUACAGUUGAUUGGAUACUGCUAUGAAUCACGGAAUAAAUACAUCGAGCACAAUAAAGAGCUCGUUUUCGCGAGAACGACGGAGCGAGUCAUCUGCUUUGAAUAUAUGGAGGGAGGAAGCCUCGAUAAAUACAUUACAGAUGAACCUUGUGGGCUUGGCUGGUCUACAUGUUACGACAUAAUUAAAGGCACCUGCGAGGGCUUAAACCACCUUCAUACUGUGCAGGCGACACCAAUUUGCCACUUGGACUUGAAACCUGGUAAUAUAUUGCUGGAUAAGAGCAUGAUGCCCAAAAUUGGAGAUCUUGGCUUGUCAAAACUUGUUGCUUCCACUGAAACACAUAAAACAGAGAUGCUCAAAGGAACAAAAGGGUAUAUGCCACCAGAAUACAUUGACAGUGGCCGUAUAUCAAAGAAGUUUGACGUCUUCAGUCUGGGAGUUAUAAUACUAAGGAUGAUGGCUGGGAAUAAGGGCUACUUCAGUUGUUCUAACACGCCACCCAAACAGUUCAUUGACCUUGUAAGUGAAAACUGGAAGGAAAGGUUGCAGGCAGUGUCGCAGGAUUCGUCAUACGAGAUGGACAUACUUCGAGUGCGUAAAUGCGUUGAUAUAGCUCUAAGAUGUGUGGACACUGACCGAAAGAAAAGGCCUACUAUCCAGGAUAUUGUCCGUCAAGUGGAGGAACUAGAAGCCAAUAUUGAAAAAAUGAUGUCAGCACCUUCUCCUGAGUCAAAAGAUCUAACUUUCCAGAGAAGCUGUGAUACCAAUGUUCUAUCUGUGGAUCCAACCCUGGAGCUGCGGUUCGUCUUGGAGGCCAGGAAGGAGACGUCAUGCUGCCUGCAGCUAAUCAACAAAACAGACAGCUUCAUCGCAUUCAACAUAAAGAUUAACCAGCACAAGUACCGUGUGCGGCCAAGCCAAGGGACCAUGCGACCGUGCUCCUGGCGUUAUGUCAUCGUGACGCUGCAAAAGCAGGAGCCGGAGCUGCUCAACAUGAGGUGCCGCGACAUGCUCUUCGUACAGAGCAUCAGCGUCACCCAAGACUUGGCAUCAAAGGAUGAUGAGAUUGAUUAUCAAGAAUUGUUCGAGAAGCCCAUGCCGGAUAAGGUGGUUGAUGUGGUGAAGCUGCCGAUCGUUUAUGUUGCACUGGACCAAUAGUCUCAUCCACCAAAACUCUUUGAGGUUGUUAAAAUCCAAAA
rnacentral:rRNA from 1 species